rnacentral:rRNA from 1 species
GUAGUCAUAUGCUUGUCUCAAAGAUUAAGCCAUGCAUGUCUAAGUAUAAGCAAUUUAUACGGUGAAACUGCGAAUGGCUCAUUAAAUCAGUUAUAGUUUAUUUGAUAGUACCUUACUACAUGGAUACCUGUGGUAAUUCUAGAGCUAAUACAUGCUAAAAACCCCGACUUCGGAAGGGGUGUAUUUAUUAGAUAAAAAACCAACGCCCUUCGGGGCUCCUUGGUGAAUCAUGAUAACUUAACGAAUCGCAUGGCCUUGCGCCGGCGAUGGUUCAUUCAAAUUUCUGCCCUAUCAACUUUCGAUGGUAGGAUAGUGGCCUACCAUGGUGGCAACGGGUAACGGGGAAU